UAUCUCUGUAGAGUCUGCAUAUCAAUAAGCGGAGGAAAAGAAACUAACAAGGAUUCCCUUAGUAACGGCGAGUGAAGCGGGAAGAGCUCAAAUUUGAAAUCUUCAAGGUUUUACCUUGACGAAUUGUAGUUUAAAGAAGUGUUUUCUGUUGAAGUUUUGGUAAAAGUUCUUUGGAAUAGGACAUCAUAGAGGGUGAGAAUCCCGUAUUUGACCAUUAUUUUCAGCUGUGUGAUACACUUUCAGAGAGUCGGAUUGUUUGGGAAUGCAGUCCAAAAUGGGUGGUAAAUUUCAUCUAAAGCUAAAUAUUGGCGAGAGACCGAUAGCGAACAAGUACCGUGAGGGAAAGAUGAAAAGAACUUUGAAAAGAGAGUUAAACAGUACGUGAAAUUGUCAAAAGGGAAGCGUUUGACACCAGUGUUGUUUUCUCGAAAAUCAAUUAAAAAAAGUUGGAUUUUGUGUUGUAUUGACCUUAACAGCUUUCUGCACUCUUUUCCUGCUUUUUUUAAUGCACUUUUCGUUUAACAAGUCAACAUCAGUUUCUUUUGUUGUAAAAGGGUCAUUGGAAGGUGGCUUUCUUUUAGGAGAAAGUGUUUAUAGCCUUUGAUCUCUGCAAUCGGAGAGACUGAGGUCUGCAGCGUAGAUCCUUCGGGGUUAGAUACAUUUGUGCUAAGUUAUAACGUUUCAUAGACAACUUGUUGACUAUAUUUAGAUCAUGUAGCUUACUCGCUUAUGCUAAUUUUACCUACGCUUAGGAUGUUGAUCUGUAGUGCGUGCGC
rnacentral:rRNA from 1 species